CAAUAGCGUAUAUUAAAGUUGUUGCAGUUAAAAAGCUCGUAGUUGGAUUUCUGGUAGGAGUGACCGUUCCGAACUUGAUUGUUCGUGUAUUGUGUUUUCUCCAGCCAUCCUUGUGGAGAACUUUUCUUGCAUUAAUUUGUAGGGAUUGGGACCCGCAUCGUUUACUGUGAAAAAAUUAGAGUGUUUAAAGCAGGCAAUCGCUUGAAUACAUUAGCAUGGAAUAAUAAGAUAGGACUUUGGUACUAUUUUGUUGGUUUGCACACCAAAUUAAUGAUCAACAGGAACAGUUUGAGGAUAUUCGUAUGAACAUGUCAGAGGUGAAAUUCUUGGAUUUUGAUCAGACGAACUACUGCGAAAGCAUUUAUCAAGGAUGUUUUCAUUAA
rnacentral:rRNA from 1 species